AGGUUACUGCUAUCGAGGUUCGACUAAGCCAUGCGAGUCGAAUGUGGCAAUACAUGGCGUACUGCUCAGUAACACGUGGACAACCUACCCUUAGGUCGGGGAUAAACCCGGGAAACUGGGUAUAAUACCCGAUAGAUCUCGACUGCUGGAAUGCAUCGAGAUCGAAAGCUCCGGCGCCUAAGGAUGGGUCUGCGGCCUAUCAGGUAGUAGUGGGUGUAGCGUACCUACUAGCCUACGACGGGUACGGGUUGUGAGAGCAAGAGCCCGGAGAUGGAUUCUGAGACACGAAUCCAGGCCCUACGGGGUGCAGCAGGCGCGAAAACUUUACAAUGCUGGAAACAGCGAUAAGGGGACCUCGAGUGCCAGGUUACAAAUCUGGCUGUCGUGAUGCCUAAAAAGCAUUGCAUAGCAAGGGCCGGGCAAGACCGGUGCCAGCCGCCGCGGUAACACCGGCGGCUCGAGUGGUAACCGUUAUUAUUGGGUCUAAAGGGUCUGUAGCCGGCCGGAUAAGUCUCUUGGGAAAUCCAGCAGCUCAACUGUUGGGCUUUCAGGAGAUACUGUCUGGCUCGAGGCCGGGAGAGGUGAGAGGUACUUCAGGGGUAGGGGUGAAAUCUUGUAAUCCUUGAAGGACCACCAGUGGCGAAAGCGUCUCACCAGAACGGACCUGACGGCAAGGGACGAAAGCUAGGGGCACGAACCGGAUUAGAUACCCGGGUAGUCCUAGCCGUAAACGAUACUCGCUAGGUGUCGGCA
rnacentral:rRNA from 1 species